AGCAGGGUGGCUUAGCAGGUAGAGCACAGGCUUGGAAGUCAGAUGGAUCUGGGUUCUAAUCCCAGCUCAGCCA
rnacentral:tRNA from 1 species